GAGGAACUUCUGUCUUCACGCAGAAAGCGUCUAGCCAUGGCGUUAGUAUGAGUGUUGUACAGCCUCCAGGACCCCCCCUCCCGGGAGAGCCAUAGUGGUCUGCGGAACCGGUGAGUACACCGGAAUCGCCGGGAUGACCGGGUCCUUUCUUGGAUUAACCCGCUCAAUGCCCGGAAAUUUGGGCGUGCCCCCGCAAGACUGCUAGCCGAGUAGUGUUGGGUCGCGAAAGGCCUUGUGGUACUGCCUGAUAGGGUGCUUGCGAGUGCCCCGGGAGGU
rnacentral:other from 1 species